UACGUAGGGGGCAAGCGUUGUCCGGAUUUAUUGGGCGUAAAGAGCUCGUAGGCGGCUCGGUAAGUCGGAUGUGAAACCUCCAGGCUCAACCUGGAGACGCCAUCUGAUACUGCCGUGGCUUGAGUCCGGUAGGGGAGCACGGAAUUCCUGGUGUAGCGGUGAAAUGCGCAGAUAUCAGGAGGAACACCAGUGGCGAAGGCGGUGCUCUGGGCCGGAACUGACGCUGAGGAGCGAAAGCGUGGGGAGCAAACAGG
rnacentral:rRNA from 1 species